rnacentral:lncRNA from 1 species
CCGAUAAUCUUCUCUGAUCGUAAGCUUUAGCUUCUGUUAUCCAAUCCGUUAGCCUUGGUUACUCAAGGUAGUCGGUUCCUGUUGGUAGAUUAGGGUUAAUUUCUACAGAUCGACCGCAUCUCUUGCGGGUCUCUUCGUUCCAAUCAAGGUAUUAAUCAUUUUUGUUUCUUAUUUUUUUCACUGCCUCCAGAGUUUUGAGAGAGUAAAUUUCACCACACCAAGUUAUAUGGGAGAACAGAGACAAAGAUGAGUCAACUAAUAUAAUGCACAAUGAUGAGUUAAGUUACAGAUAAGGGUUCGAUUUCUGCUACACCUUUACAUCCUCCUUGUAGUAAUGGUAUUUCACAACUUCGUUCUCGU